rnacentral:rRNA from 1 species
GUGGCGUACGGGUGAGUAACACGUGACUACCUACCUUUGAGUGGGGGAUAACCCCGGGAAACCGGGGCUAAUACCGCAUAACAUCGCAAGAUCAAAGAAGCAAUUCGCUUAAAGAGGGGGUCGCGGCUGAUUAGCUAGUUGGUACGGUAAUGGCCUACCAAGGCGAUGAUCGGUAGCCGGCCUGAGAGGGCGCACGGCCACACUGGAACUGAAACACGGUCCAGACUCCUACGGGAGGCAGCAGUGGGGAAUUUUGCGCAAUGGGGGAAACCCUGACGCAGCAACGCCGCGUGGAGGAUGAAGUCCCUUGGGACGUAAACUCCUUUCGACCGGGACGAUUAUGACGGUACCGGUGGAAGAAGCCCCGGCUAACUUCGUGCCAGCAGCCGCGGUAAUACGAGGGGGGCAAGCGUUGUUCGGAAUUAUUGGGCGUAAAGGGCGCGUAGGCGGUGCGGUAAGUCACCUGUGAAAACUCUGGGCUCAACUCAGAGCCUGCAGGCGAAACUGACGUGCUUGAGUGUGGGAGAGGUGCGUGGAA